UUCACAGCCCUGGAGACCAAAGUCCUCUAUUUAGGCACAGGACAGGUAUAGCACAAACAGUAGCAGUGGAAGCUUCCCACGCAUUGGCCUGCCAAUGUGCUUCGACCCUGCUCCAGAGGGAUCCCCUCGCGGGAAGAGAGGGAGGGAAUUUAGUUCAAGAGCCAAAGAGGGCAGGAGAAUUU
ensembl:misc_RNA